UGCCAGCCGCCGCGGUAAUACUGAAGGUGCAAGCGUUAAUCGGAAUCACUGGGCGUAAAGCGCUCGUAGGUGGCUUUGUAAGUCGGAUGUGAAAGCCCAUGGCUCAACCGUGGAAGUGCAUCCGAAACUGCAUAGCUAGAGUCCUGGAGAGGAAGGUGGAAUGCUUGGUGUAGAGGUGAAAUUCGUAGAUAUCAAGCGGAACACCGGUGGCGAAGGCGACCUUCUGGACAGUGACUGACGCUGAGACGCGAAAGCGUGGGGAGCAAACAGGAUUAGAUA
rnacentral:rRNA from 1 species